rnacentral:rRNA from 1 species
UACAUAGGGUCCGAGCGUUUGUCCGGAAUUAUUGGGCGUAAAGAGCUCGUAGGCGGUCUGUCGCGUCGGCUGUGAAAACACGGGGCUCAACUCCGUGCCUGCAGUCGAUACGGGCAGACUAGAGUUCGGUAGGGGAGACUGGAAUUCCUGGUGUAGCGGUGAAAUGCGCAGAUAUCAGGAGGAACACCGGUGGCGAAGGCGGGGUCUCGUGGGCAGUAACUACGCUGAGGAGCGAAAGCGUGGGGGAGCGAACGG